UAGAAACAAAAAUAUUUUCAUUAUAUUAUUUUGCAAGUAGGAAAAUAUUCUCAUUCAAAGGGACACUACUCAUUUAUUUGCACGGCUUUUUUUUUUUUUUUUUAACUGGUUUCUCUUAAAGCAAAGACUGUAAGUACUACUUUUUCUGGAGUUCAAUAGUUCAGGGAGACAAGUUUUUCUUUUUAAAAUUCAUUCUUUAUUGUCACUGUUGCAAAAUUAUCAGUGAGAGUUAGCAAUCGAGUUCUUCCUGGACAGCUAAACUGCCCUCUUAGUCAGUUAAGAUGUAGCCUGGAGAUGGAAGCCUAGAACUCAGUUCUUUUUUUGGUUCACUGCAGUAGCCCUGGUUGAAGUAAUGCAACCUCUCUUGUCAACGGCCUUCACUGUUGCAUUCAGCUGUGAAUUUUUUAAGGCUUUGUUACCUAUGCUGACAUAAAGAGCUAAUAUUAUUUUCUCUGUACCUACUGGCCUAACAUGGUAAAGAAACACGCUUAAAACAUUCUUCUUCAAAGAAAUUAUUGGCUUGGAAAUAUAUAAUUAGAAAAAAACAUAUUUGAUUGCCUCCUCAAAAUGCCUUACCAUCCACUUCCCUUUACACUUGCUUUACCCUAACUAAUUGGAAAGAAAAAAACAAAUAGUCAAUAUUCUUCACUAUUGCUAUAAAACUGGAACAUAGGAAAUGCUGAGAAAUAAUAUGGCUUAAAUGCUAUGAUUAUAAUUAUGAUGAAAAUUAAUGGGACUAGCUCUCAGUAGGUAUUAUCUGACCAGUAUCAAUAAUUUCUAAUGACGAAUAACUGCUUUGAACUGUUCAAUUACAUCACUUAGAAUCAAUUAUUAGUUUACUUAGCUGUCCUUGAGAAGGAAUAGACCUUCCUUAGAUGAUCAAGAAUAUGGUUAGGCUCAUUCUUUCAGGAACGUCUGAACUAAAUAAGUAUUCUUAAAUUUUCUCUUAAAUAUCUACUUCUUUUCAUCCCCCUUGCAACCAUCCCAGUUUAGACCACCAUUUUCUCUGUCCUGGAAAAGUCUCCCAAAUGAUCUCCCUGCUUCCAGGCCUGCUUCCUUCUAAUCUACUCUCCACACUGCAGACACUAUGAGCUUUCUAAAAUUAAUCUAAUUAUAUGACUCUAUGGAGAUCAAACUCAAAAUCUUGUACAAGGCUUUCAUGACCCUUCAUAAUUUGAUUACAUCUCUAAAUUCAUAAUUUAUUAUGCUUCCUCCUACCCCAACCUAACCUUCUUUCUUCUAAAUUAUAUAUCCUAGCCAUAGUGAAGUUCUUAGUUUGGGGUAUGUACCAUGCUGUUGCUCAUCUCUGGCCCUUUGCUUGGGUUAUGCAAUUUGCCUAUAUCUUCAGGGUUCAUGCACUGUGUCUGGAGCAUUUUAGUGCUCAGCAAAUAUUUGCUGAAUGAAUGGAUGAAUGAAAUAAAGGAACAGGAAGUGAGAUCUGGUAUCUGAUAUGUAGCUGAAGCCAUAUCUCAUUAUUACUACUUAUAGAAAAGAGCAACCAGUUAUCUUAAAUCCAUUAAUCUGAAAGUGUUUCAAUUUAGAAACACUUCGUACCAUGAACACUAAAUUGUUUCUGAAAAUAAAGAAAAUUAAUUACUUUGGCAUUUCUAAGUCUAGUGCCUUUUAAAAAAUAUAUAUACAAACCAACAUUUGUGACACAGAUAGCUAGAAGUAAGAUGAUGAAAUCUCUACCUCUACAUUAAAUUAAUAAUAAUAGUUAAUAGUUAAUUAUGUUUUCUAAUUCUAAGAUAAAAGACAGAUACUUGAACACUAUUCCUGAGGCUUGUGUUACAACAGUUCAAACAAAGAACUCAAAAUCCCAAACCAAAUGUUAUGGAAAAAAAAAUAAAAAAUUUAUAGUUUAGUUUUGAAAAAUGCAAUUAUAAGGACCAAAAUAAACAUUAGGUUGUAUCUACUAGGUUUCGAUAGUUCUCAGAGAGGCCACCAAUCUGGAUGAAUUUAAAUGAGAUAGCACCCUCUCUGAACGUUGAUGUUAUAGCUCCUUUUAUUAGAUUUAUAUUAUAAUGUGUUUUCUUCCUCAAAUGUAUAGUUUUGAUGGGCUUUGUACAUAAAAACAAGUCAAACAAUGGCAUUACUUAAUGCAAUGCAUCUAUAUGUAUAAAACCCAUCACAAACUUAUCUCACCUUAUCAGUACAAUUAUACAUCUGGGGAUACCACUGCAACUUCAAAAGGAAGCUCAGAUAAAACUACAGAGAUCUCUGGGUCAUGAAUCACAAGUUAAUAUGUGAGCUUAGAUCUUUUAUGGGGCAAAGAUGAAAAAAUUAAUCUAAGGUGUUACUUGAACAACAUGUAUUUGCAUUUAGAAGGCUCCUGGCCAGGUGCAGUGGCUCACGCCUGUAAUCCCAGCACUUUGGGAGGCCAUGGCGGGCGGAUCACCUGAAGUCGGGAGUUCGAAACCAGCCUGGCCAACAUAGCGAAACCUUGUCUCUACUAAAAAUAGAAAAAUUAGCCGGGCAUGGUGGCAGGCGCCUGUAAUUAAUCCCAGCUACUCAGGGAGGCUGAGGCAUGAGAAUCGUUUGAACUCGGGAGACGGAGGUUGCAGUGAGCCGAGAUUGCGCCACUGCACUCCAGCCUGGAUGAAAAAGUGAGACUCUGUCUCAAAAAAAAAAGAAGACUCCCAACAUAUUUUUUUUUAAAGUCAGAUUAUGAAUUCAAAACAAACAAGAAUCCUUGAUCCCUGCUCUAAUAAGCAAGAGCAGCU
rnacentral:lncRNA from 1 species